UUCUGAGAUUUUCCCUUUGGGAUUUUCCAUUUUCCAUCCUGGAUUUUCCGUUUGGGAAUUCCGGGAUUUUCCAUUCGGGAUUUUCUAUUUGAAAUUCUACAGUUGGGAUUUUUCAUUUGGGAUUUUCCACAUGGAAUUUUUUCAUCCAGGAAUUCCAGAAUUUUUUUAUUUGGGAUUUUCCAUCCGAGAUUUUCCCCUCUGGAAUUUUUCAUCCGGAAUUUUCCAUUUGGGAUUUUUCAUCUGGGAUUUUCCACAUGGAAUUUUUCUAUCAGGAAUUCCAGGAUUUCCGAUUUGGAAUUUUCCAUUUGGGAUUUUCCAUUUGGGAUUUUCCAUUUGGGAUUUUUCAUCUGGAUCUUUCCCUUUGGGAUUUUCUUCCAGAAUUUUCCAUCCAGGAUUUUCCAUUUGGGAUUUUCUAUUUGGAAUUUUCCAUUUGGAAUUUUCUUCCAGGAUUUCCCAUUUGGGAUUUUCCAUUUUCCAUCCAGGAUCUUCCAUCCCAAAUUUUCUAUUUUCGGAUUUCCCAUUUGGGAUUUUUCCAUUUAAGAAUUCCAGGAUUUUCCAUUUGGGAUUUUCUAUUUUCCAUCUGGAAUUUUCCAUCCAGAAUUUUCUAUCUGGAAUUCCACAAUUUCCCAUUUGGGAUUUUUUUUAAUCUGGGAUUUUUCCCAUUUGGGAUUUUCCAUCCCAAAUUUCCCAUUUGGGAUUUCCCAUCUGGAAUUUUCUAUCCAGAAUUUUUCAUUUUGGGAUUUUCUUCUGGAAUUUUCCAUCUGGGAUCUCCCAUCCAGAAUUUCCCUCUUGGGAUUUUUUUUUUUUCCCAUCCAGAAUUUUUCAUCUGGAUUUUUUUUUUUUAUCCAGGAAUUUUUAUCUUUGGGAUUUUCCAUCCCAAAAUCUUCCAUUUUGGGAUUUCCCAUUUGCAAUUUUCCAUCUGGGAAUUCCACAAUUUCCCAUUCGGGAUUUCUCCCAUUUGGGAUUUUCCAGCCCCAGUUCUUUGGGCUCCUUCCCACCGCCGCAAUUCCCAUUUCUUUUCUCCCAAGAAAUUCCAGUUAUCCCAGGAAAAAUCCCCAUUCCUGCAGCUCCUUCCCCAAAGAAAUUCCCAGAAAAUCCCAGGAAAACCUGGGAUGAUCCCAAAAAAUCUCCCAAAAAGCCCCAGAAAAUCCCAAAAAAACCCCACCAGGGAAUCCC
rnacentral:lncRNA from 1 species